ACUGUUCAAGUUGUCCACUUAGAUUAUUUAAAGAUCAUAAAAGUCAAGUUCUAGCUAAUUGUUGUCAGGCUUCAAGACUAGUGACACUGCAUACUCAAAUCUGCAGAAGAGAUGCCUACAAGAGAUAGUAGGGUUCUAAAUUUCUAAUAUACAGGCAUUUUCGAACUUUAAAUGAACAUUUACAUUCCAAUCAUCUUCCCAACCUUUCUAUGUUAGCAUUGAUUACUCAUUUACUUACAAAGAAAGUUUAAAUUGUUUUCUAUUUGUUUCUAGAGAAUGAGAACACAAAUAUUGGCACGAGGGAGAAUGACUUUUGUUAUGUUUUUUUUCCGCUUUAUAGAGCUAUAUAUGUCACCAAAUUAUCAAGAUAUUCUACAUAACCAUUUUUACAUGCACCACCAAUGUAUGAGAAACAAAACCAAGUGAAAGAAAUCUGAGUGAGUACCAAGGAAAUGAAAUACUGAACUAAAUUUGAGCGAAAAGCUACUCACUUUCAGAAAACAUGAAUAAAACGACAUCAGGCAAACUUACCCUAAAGCUAUAGGUCCUGAUAUUGAUGUAUCACCAACUUUAUCUAUCUUGCGUAGCACUGCAUUGCUGUAAGAAAACACCAGAAGAUUCAUAACAAAUGGUUAGAGAAAGAAUGUAACUCAUUUUCCUAAAAAUAAAUAGAAGCCUACUUCAUGUGUCGAGAAUGUUGAGAGAGAGAGAAAGAUCUUGCGGCACUGUAUCUACGACCAGAACUGUCGAAUGUCGAACCACCCAUCUUGGUUGAUGAAACUCCUUUUAAGUAAUUCAGAUCCGUAUUAUAACCUAAAAGACCUUUAUCUUCUAUUUUAUUUCUACAAAAUUUCAAAUUUUGAUCUUCCGUCCUAAAAAUUAGAGUAGAGGAGCGGAGUUAUAUAACUAUGCAGUCAUGACCACAACAUGCAACUAAUAAGGAAGUCUCAACAAAUUUUAAAGUCUUCGGCCUCCCAAAAAAACACGGGCUUGAAAUUUAUGGGUCAACCUGNNNNN
rnacentral:lncRNA from 1 species